UACGUAGGGUGCAAGCGUUGUCCGGAAUUAUUGGGCGUAAAGGGCUCGUAGGCGGUCCGUCACGUCGGGAGUGAAAACUCGGGGCUCAACCCCGAGCCUGCUUUCGAUACGGGCGGACUAGAGGUAGGUAGGGGAGAACGGAAUUCCUGGUGUAGCGGUGGAAUGCGCAGAUAUCAGGAGGAACACCGGUGGCGAAGGCGGUUCUCUGGGCCUUACCUGACGCUGAGGAGCGAAAGCGUGGGGAGCGAACAGG
rnacentral:rRNA from 1 species